rnacentral:miRNA from 1 species
AAGGCUGGGCCCCCGCUCCGC